ACUCCUACGGGAGGCAGCAGCGACGAAUCUUCCGCAAUGCACGAAAGUGUGACGGAGCAAUGCCGCGUGUGGGAUGAAUCGGCUUCGCCGUGUAAACCACUGUCAGAGUCUAGGAAGAACUGACCAGACUCAAAGGAAGGGCCGGCUAAUCUCGUGCCAGCAGCCGCGGUAAUACGAGAGGCCCGAGCGUUAGGCGGAAUCACUGGGCUUAAAGGGUGCGUAGGCGGAUCGGCAGGCGUCUUGUGAAAUCCCCGGGCUCAACCCGGGAACUGCAGGGCGAACCGCCAGUCUUGAGGCAGGUAGGGGUCGCUAGAACGUUCGGUGGAGCGGUGAAAUGCGUAGAUAUGACUUAGAACACCAAUUGCGAAGGCAGCUGACUAGAUUUUAUUUGACGCUGAGGCACGAAAGCGUGGGGAGCGAACAGGAUUAGAUACCCUGUAGGUCAGUC
rnacentral:rRNA from 1 species